AGUGAAGAACUGGACAACUGGACGAAAUGUAUGAAGAAACUGCAGACAUGGGACAACAGAAAGCACAGGACUUUCCUGGGCUUAGCAGGAUGGAUCUCAUCUACUGUGGAACUUAGUGUCCUGUUUUGGCUUAAAACUGUCCUAGCAGCAAGACCUAGCAAAUGGACGCCUGAGUAGUCACAUCUGUUGAGCACUUUUGUGACUGUAAGCCAUUGGUGACAGUUCUUUAGGUUUGCAUAAAUGUUGAGAAAAGUUCAGUAGUCUUGAAAGAGAUAAAAGCUGUCCCAUCACCUUGGUCUUAUAACACUCCCAGAGUUUAAAGGAAGGCAGCCAUUAGCUGUUUUUCUGGAAACAUAAGCAUUAAGUGCUGUGAACUCAGUGUCAUGGAUAUAGGACUGAGUCAAGGAAAUUAAUUCAAAUAAUAAUGUAUUGCGUUCUCCUAUUGCAAGGCACAGCACUAACACUUUAAGGUUUAAAUAACAAUCGGUAGGACACAAUGCCUGACUUCAAACUUAUUCUAAUAGGAGGUUGGGACAGGAGAUGAGAAUUAUAUAUUUUUUUAAAAAAGCCAAACCUUACAUAUACCUUCAGAGAGGCACCACCGAUAUCGUGAGAGAUUGAAGAAGGAAGAGUCCAUAUUUAUGGCUGAUCAUGAAAAUUUAUUACUUGAGCUAGGUCUUGUAAAGAAGAGUAUAUAUAAUUUUGAGUCAGAAAAAAAGGGGAAGACCAAAUAUCGUGGUUUGUAAAUUCCAAUGUACUAAUUUAUGGGGACCAGGGAGAAGUUUAACUUUAGAGAAAAGGAAUUGAAAAACUGAAAGAUAAGUUGUUGUACUCUUGUAAAGGGGCUGAAUAAAAGCUGACUUCAAGCUGAAGUCUGCCCAGUUCAAUAGGUAUUCAGUAAUAAAGUAAGACUUUUUUCUAUUGA